UUUCAGAGUAUGUGGAAACUGAUCCGACUGGCCGCUACGGACGUUUUGCAGAGAUUCUUGGAAGGGGAGCGAUGAAGACAGUAUACAAAGCAAUCGACGAGAAGCUUGGAAUAGAAGUAGCAUGGAGCCAGGUGAAGCUGAAAGAGGUUCUGCGUUCCUCUGUUGAUCUACAGAGGCUCUACUCCGAAGUUCAUCUCCUCAGCACUCUCAACCACAAAUCCAUCAUUCGUUUCUACACUUCCUGGAUCGAUGUUCACAAUCAUACUCUCAACUUUAUCACCGAGUUGUUCACUUCUGGGACCCUCCGACAGUA